rnacentral:rRNA from 1 species
CCCUUAGACGUUCUGGGCCGCACGCGCGCUACACUGACACAGGCAACGAGCUUUCCUUUACCGAAAGGUAUGGGUAAUCUUUUGAAACUGUGUCGUGCUGGGGAUAGAUCCUUGCAAUUUUUGAUCUUAAACGAGGAAUUCCUAGUAAGCGCGGGUCAUCAACUCGCGUUGAUUACGUCCCUGCCCUUUGUACACACCGCCCGUCGCUACUACCGAUUGAAUGGCUUAGUGAGGCCUCAGGAUCCGCGCUUAAUGUGUGGAGAAUUUGGACAAACUACGUCAUUUAGAGGAAGUAAAAGUCGUAACA